CCGGCGCGCAGCACCACGAGGAGCGCCUCCGAGGCCCACGCGUCCCUGCAGCCGCCCGCCGCGCAGCCCGCGGAGCCCGACAGCUCCAGCCGGCCUCCACCUGUGGGGACGGAGAGGGGGCUGGGGAGCGGGCAUUUAUUGAUUCCUUGCUCGGGGCCGAUGAGAAAGACAGCUGUCUGUCCCCGAGGAGCUCACACACAAAGGGGAGACAAAUCCACAGUUCAGUGGUUACAAAAGCAACGCCGCUUCUUCCGUACAGCAUGCUCGGCCUGAUCAGAAUUUCACAUUUUCAAGCGUUGUAAGUCAGCUACUGGGUCCCUUCUGCGACCAAACCUCCUUGACCCGGACCUGGGCUCCUAAUCCCUUCCGUGUAGUCCCAACCCAAGGGAGUCUCUGACCUCGUUCCUGACCCUGUGCCCUCCAUGCUCUCGGGCAGCCCCUUCCGACCAGCACUCUAGAGGGAGGAAAAGCGGGGGAGCAGGGCAACCGUCCAGGAACGGCGUGCCAGGCCCUGGAAGGACCCGGCUGACAGCCGCCGCGGAGGAAAGGUUUGAAGAGCCGCGCCCCGAGCGAGGCGCCCAUUGGCUGCCGCAGCCUCCCCCGGCCAAUCGCCGGCGAUGAAGGUGACGUCCCGUUCCGGGCGGCGCUCACCUCGCCGGCCGCGGUCAGCGCUGCGGUCUGUCCAGCUCGAGUUCCGUCAAGCCGGCCCCGGGGCUUGCGCUGGGCCGCUGCGCCCUCGGUGUGAACGAGGUAACCUCCGGUGGGCGCGGGCCCGAGGCAGAGGUCGGGUCGGACGGCCCCGCCCUACGCAGUCACGCGCGGGGCCGCGCAACUCGGGUCAGAAUCCAAGUCGAAGGGCUGGCGAGGAGCCACUGCGGAGACACGUGCUCCCUGUCAUUCCCCUCACUCCGGGACGGCUGCAGCUCACCCACACGCGCGGGACCGAUGCCCAACAGGAAGCAGCCGUACUAGGCGGGAGCCUCGGCGAGCUUAACCUUCCACUGGCUCGGGACCUGUCACUCAUCUAUGUGAACCAAUGAGCCUCAAGCUGGGCUCCCAGAACGGAAGCAGGCUUCUCGCGGACGGCCCGCCCGGGCAGGUCGGGGAGCUCUUGCCCUCACCUGUUUCAGCUAAGGGUUUUUUCCGGGAGGGAAGAGCAUGCCCCGAGGACACACCCACCCCAAAUCCAGAGCAAGGCCCGAGUGGAGGCCACUGGGAAGUCUCAAUACAAAGACAAAAAUAUUGAAGGGGCAGCAUCUAGGAGUCCAAACCCAUUUAUUCCCAAGCGACGGAACAGAUUUUUAUUAGCUUCCUAGGUUUACCCCUUGACCCUCGAGCAGAAUUAAAAAGCAACUCAGCAGGCUCCAGGGUGGAGAAGCCAUUGGCUUCCCUCCGUCCAGGGGGCUGUGCUGUGUAGCUCCGCUCUAGACUCAACCAGGCCUGGCUCACAGCCAGCCCUCCCUGCCUCGGGACAGGGCACACAUUUCACUUCCUAUACGUAGAGGGUCGAGGCAGUCCCGCUAGCAGGCUCGGGAGUUGCUCCCAGCUGGUGAGGCUGCUUGAUGCGCCCUUUCCCAAUGCCAGGAACCCACAGGCUGGGUUAGGAUGCACCUUCCCCAUUCCCAGCUCUCUACAGUAGUACAGGAAAAGGGCUCUGCUGCGUGAGGCUGGAGGCAGUGCUGGCAGAGCAGGGCUGUGACUGAAGGUGGUCCCUGACUUAGCAGAGGACGUCAAAGGGCAGCUACAGACAAGCCAGUGUGCAGCAUCCCAGCCCCCACCAGCCCAAGCUGCGUAUGUCCUCACUCCUCUGCUGCAACAGGUGACGUGUGCAUGAGGCAGCCCCUCAUUCUCCAUCCUGGUUGGGUUUGAUAAGCCCGUAUUCCACCGCUUUUGCCAGGCAAGCUGCGGCAGCCCUUGUGACAGGGCUUUCCUUGCCCUUAGCCAGCACCGACAGGAUCUCCAGCACUUCGCUCUCCAUCAGGCUGCUGGCUAUGUCUUUCGAGGCCUCCACCAUGUUCAGUGCCACCAAGGCACCCCGGUGCUGCAGCUCCUGGUUGGAGCUUAGAAGCAAGGCCUGCAGGAUCUCCAGCCAGUGCGUGGUCUGCGGGAAACAGGGCAGUGCCACCCCCGAGCCACAGGCUCAACCCUGGCAGAAGCACAUCUGCGUGCCCUGGGAUCCCCCCCAGAACCCACCAACCGCCAGCAUGCAGGGAGUUCCUGGCCCACCUUCCCUCCCGCACCGAGGCACUGACCACUUGGGGGAUGCGGCUGCAGAGGGAGGGCCGCAUGGAGGUGAGCAUGGCCAGGCCCCCAGCAGCUGCCCGCCGCAGCAGCUCGUCGUCCUCCCCGCUAUACAGCACCAGCAGCUUCAGCCGGUCGUUGCCCUUGGCUUCAAACAGGUCCUGCACCUGCAGCCACAAGAGGGGAGGGGACGGAGUCGGCUGGGGCAAAGCCUGGCGGGACACAGGUACUUCCGCAUGCCUGCCCGUCAGGACCACCCGGACCAGCCCUCACCUCCUUGCUCAUAGCCAAAUUACACAUGCACUCCGUGGCUGCCCGGCGGAUCAUCUCGUGCUCCUCGAACAUAUAGCCCUCGAUCAUGGGCACGGCCUUCUCCUUCAGGAUCUUCUGCCUGUAGGGCCGAGGGUGGAAAGGUGAGCCUCCGCAUCCACCUCCCCCACCCCAGCGUCCCCACACAAUCGAGCCCCAGGCCAAGGAUUUCCCAGGGGGUAUCCAAAGACCCUCCUGCACCAGGUAUGAAUGGCACUGCUUUCCAGCUUCUUAAGCAGGCCUGGGGGACAGCAUGGGACCGUGGAAAAUGCUCUACAGUAGGAGUUAGGAGACCAGGGGGCUGGUGAUGGUGAUGCUAACAGCUAACAUUUAAGCACCUACCCUGACCCCGAACUUGGACUAUCUUUCUUAGUCCUCACCACGGCCCUAUGGUGUAGGUGCAGGUAUGAUUAUAACUGUUUUGCACAAGAAGAGACCAAGGCUGAGUAGUGGAUAAUGGGGCCAAUAUCACAAUUAGUAGUGACAGCUGACACAUGUUGACUGGGCACGUUGCUGGGAGCCACGUUCUGUGUACUAAGUGCUUUUGCCUGCGUUUUCUCAUUUACCUCUCCUUGCUACUACCCCUGUAGUACCUAUGGGAACUAUAACCAUCCCAUUUCCCAGAAGGAAAAUGGAGGCACAGAGCAGCACUCGUUUGAGGUUGAGGUUGCACACCGGUAACCAGUGAAGUCAGGAUUUAAUAAACCCGGGCAGUCUGACUCUAGAGCUUGCGCUGUCGCUGCCCAAUGCCUUGCCCACUCGUGGAACACUGGCCUAGUCAAAACUGGCCUGUCUCCCCAGCUACAUAAUACACAGAGGUCACCGCGAGGCUCAAAUAAAGCAAUGACCCAAGA